ACUCCUACGGGAGGCAGCAGUGGGGAAUAUUGCACAAUGGGCGCAAGCCUGAUGCAGCCAUGCCGCGUGUAUGAAGAAGGCCUUCGGGUUGUAAAGUACUUUCAGCAGUGAGGAAGGCGGUACGUUAUAGUACGUGCUCGUUGAUCGUUUAGCUGCAGAGAAGACACCGCGUAACUCCGUGCCAGCAGCCGCGGUAAUACGGAGGGUGCGAGCGUUAAUCGGAAUUACUGGGCGUAAAGCGCAUGCAGGUGGUUUGUUAAGUCAGAUGUGAAAGCCCGGGGCUCAACCUCGGAAUAUGAC
rnacentral:rRNA from 1 species